CUAAAGUGUCUGAACGACCAAAACCACAAGUAAAAAAGCAUUCCAAUGUUUCAGAUUUCCCUGAGGGAGACUUGUUGGCUGACAUAUCACUUUCAGACGAUGAAUUCUAUGAUUUAGGAAAGAAGCCUCCUUUAGACAGCAAGAGUCGUGAUAAAGUCCAAAUUUCAGCACCAGAGGAGGUAAAUCAGGACAAGUUAGAUAAAUCUAAGAGAAUUGCCAACCUUUUUGGGCUGGAUGACAGUGACGAUGUUGCGGCAGACUCUAAGAAAAAAACAGCAGGGAGCGGCAGAUUGGCUGGGUAUAAAGGAAAGCCCAGUCAAAGCAGCAAGCGUAUCUUUGUCAGAUAAUAAUCCGGGGAUUCUGAGUAGAAAAAAUAGUCUCACAGCCACUACAGGUGGAGUAGGUCAAAUUGUGGCUAAAAGUUCAAGAGAAACUAAAAAUAAUGAUUUAACAGAUACAAAAACACAAUUGGCCAAAGUCAUCACUUCUGCAGAAAGUGUUGAUGUUAAUAAACCCUUUGAAAAACCAAAAGCUGACGUAAAAAGAACUGAUUUUCCCAAGGUUAGAGGUGCAAAAACAGUUGAAGUUUAUGAUUUAUUGGGUGAUAAAGCUGAAUUAAAAUCUGCAGAAAUUAAAGAAAAGAAAAGUGCGAUAUUUGAUGAGUUGUUUGGAGAUCAUGAUGCAUCAAGGAA